UACGUAGGGUGCAAGCGUUGUCCGGAAUUAUUGGGCGUAAAGAGCUCGUAGGCGGUUUGUCGCGUCGGCUGUGAAAACCCGAGGCUCAACCUCGGGCCUGCAGUCGAUACGGGCAAACUAGAGUGCGGUAGGGGAGACUGGAAUUCCUGGUGUAGCGGUGAAAUGCGCAGAUAUCAGGAGGAACACCGGCGGCGAAGGCGGGUCUCUGGGCCGUAACUGACGCUGAGGAGCGAAAGCAUGGGGAGCGAACAGG
rnacentral:rRNA from 1 species